rnacentral:rRNA from 1 species
UGAACGCUGGCGGCGUGCUUAACACAUGCAAGUCGAACGGUGAAGGCGGAGCUUGCUCUGCUGGAUCAGUGGCGAACGGGUGAGUAACACGUGAGCAAUCUGCCCCUGACUCUGGGAUAAGCGCUGGAAACGGCGUCUAAUACUGGAUACGAGCUGCGAAGGCAUCUUCAGCAGCUGGAAAGAACUUCGGUCAGGGAUGAGCUCGCGGCCUAUCAGCUUGUUGGUGAGGUAACGGCUCACCAAGGCGUCGACGGGUAGCCGGCCUGAGAGGGUGACCGGCCACACUGGGACUGAGACACGGCCCAGACUCCUACGGGAGGCAGCAGUGGGGAAUAUUGCACAAUGGGCGAAAGCCUGAUGCAGCAACGCCGCGUGAGGGACGACGGCCUUCGGGUUGUAAACCUCUUUUGGCAGGGAAGAAGCGAAAGUGACGGUACCUGCAGAAAAAGCGCCGGCUAACUACGUG